UACGAAGGGGGCUAGCGUUGCUCGGAAUUACUGGGCGUAAAGCGCACGUAGGCGGCUUGUUAAGUCAGGGGUGAAAUCCUGGAGCUCAACUCCAGAACUGCCUUUGAUACUGGCAAGCUUGGAGUCCGGGAGAGGUGAGUGGAACUGCGAGUGUAGAGGUGAAAUUCGUAGAUAUUCGCAAGAACACCAGUGGCGAAGGCGGCUCACUGGCCCGGUACUGACGCUGAGGUGCGAAAGCGUGGGGAGCAAACAGG
rnacentral:rRNA from 1 species